GAGGCUGUAGCUCAGUGGUAAAGUGCUUGCUUCGCAUGUAUGAGGCACUGGGUUCAAUCCUCAGCACCACA
rnacentral:tRNA from 1 species